UGGGGAAUAUUGCACAAUGGAGGGAACUCUGAUGCAGCGACGCCGCGUGAACGAAGAAGGCUUUCGAGUCGUAAAGUUCUUUUAUAUGGGAAGAUAAUGACGGUACCAUAGGAGAAAGCUCCGGCUAAAUACGUGCCAGCAGCCGCGGUAAUACGUAUGGAGCGAGCGUUGUCCGGAAUUAUUGGGCGUAAAGGGUGCGCAGGCGGCUUUACAAGUUGGAUGUGAAAUAUUGUGGCUCAACCACAAACGUGCAUCCAAAACUGCAAAGCUUGAGUUAAGGAGAGGUAAGUGGAAUUCCUGGUGUAGCGGUGGAAUGCGUAGAUAUCAGGAGGAAUACCGGUGGCGAAGGCGACUUACUGGACUUAAACUGACGCUCAGGCACGAAAGCGUGGGGAGCAAACAGG
rnacentral:rRNA from 1 species